AUUGAACGCUGGCGGCAGGCUUAACACAUGCAAGUCGAGCGGUAGCACAGGGGAGCUUGCUCCCUGGGUGACGAGCGGCGGACGGGUGAGUAAUGUCUGGGAAACUGCCUGAUGGAGGGGGAUAACUACUGGAAACGGUAGCUAAUACCGCAUAACGUCGCAAGACCAAAGAGGGGGACCUUCGGGCCUCUUGCUAUCAGAUGUGCCCAGAUGGGAUUAGCUAGUAGGUGGGGUAAUGGCUCACCUAGGCGACGAUCCCUAGCUGGUCUGAGAGGAUGACCAGCCACACUGGAACUGAGACACGGUCCAGACUCCUACGGGAGGCAGCAGUGGGGAAUAUUGCGCAAUGGGCGCAAGCCUGAUGCAGCCAUGCCGCGUGUGUGAAGAAGGUCUUCGGGUUGUAAAGCACUUUCAGCGAGGAGGAAGGUGGUGAGCUUAAUACGUUCAUCAAUUGACGUUACUCGCAGAAGAAGCACCGGCUAACUCCGUG
rnacentral:rRNA from 1 species